UACGGGGGGGGCAAGCGUUGUUCGGAAUUACUGGGCGUAAAGGGCUCGUAGGCGGCCAACUAAGUCAGACGUGAAAUCCCCAGGCUCAACCUGGGAACUGCGUCUGAUACUGGAUGGCUUGAAUCCGGGAGAGGGAUGCAGAAUUCCAGGUGUAGCGGUGAAAUGCGUAGAUAUCAGGAAGAACACCAAUGGCGAAGGCAGCUCUCUGGGACGGUACUGACGCUGAGACGCGAAAGCGUGGGGAGCGAACAGG
rnacentral:rRNA from 1 species